GACAGAGGGGGCAAGCGUUGCUCGGAAUUACUGGGCGUAAAGGGCGCGUAGGCGGGAUGGCAAGUCGGUCGUGAAAUCCCUCGGCUCAACCGAGGAACGUCGAUCGAUACUGCUGUUCUUGAGGAUUGCAGAGGAGACUGGAAUUCCCGGUGUAGCGGUGAAAUGUGUAGAGAUCGGGAGGAACACCGGUGGCGAAGGCGGGUCUCUGGGCCGAUACUGACGCUGAGGAGCGAAAGCGUGGGGAGCAAACAGG
rnacentral:rRNA from 1 species